rnacentral:rRNA from 1 species
GAGUUUGAUCAUGGCUCAGAUUGAACGCUGGCGGCAUGCCUUACACAUGCAAGUCGAACGGUAACAGGUUAAGCUGACGAGUGGCGAACGGGUGAGUAAUAUAUCGGAACGUGCCCAGUCGUGGGGGAUAACUGCUCGAAAGAGCAGCUAAUACCGCAUACGACCUGAGGGUGAAAGCGGGGGAUCGCAAGACCUCGCGCGAUUGGAGCGGCCGAUAUCAGAUUAGGUAGUUGGUGGGGUAAAGGCCCACCAAGCCAACGAUCUGUAGCUGGUCUGAGAGGACGACCAGCCACACUGGGACUGAGACACGGCCCAGACUCCUACGGGAGGCAGCAGUGGGGAAUUUUGGACAAUGGGCGCAAGCCUGAUCCAGCCAUGCCGCGUGCGGGAAGAAGGCCUUCGGGUUGUAAACCGCUUUUGUCAGGGAAGAAAAGGUUCUGGUUAAUACCUGGGACUCAUGACGGUACCUGAAGAAUAAGCACCGGCUAACUACGUGCCAGCAGCCGCGGUAAUACGUAGGGUGCAAGCGUUAAUCGGAAUUACUGGGCGUAAAGCGUGCGCAGGCGGUUAUGCAAGACAGAGGUGAAAUCCCCGGGCUCAACCUGGGAACUGCCUUUGUGACUGCAUGGCUAGAGUACGGUAGAGGGGGAUGGAAUUCCGCGUGUAGCAGUGAAAUGCGUAGAUAUGCGGAGGAACACCGAUGGCGAAGCAAUCCCCUGGACCUGUACUGACGCUCAUGCACGAAAGCGUGGGGAGCAAACAGAUUAGAUACCCUGGUAGUCCACGCCCUAACGAUGUCAACUGGUUGUUGGGAGGGUUUCUUCUCAGUACCGUAGCUAACGCGUGAAGUUGACCGCCUGGGGAGUACGGCCGCAAGUUGAAMUCAAGGAAUUGACGGGGACCCGCMCAAGCGKKGAUGAUKUGUUUAAUUCGAUGCACGCCGAAAAACCUUWACCUACCCUUKGAMMUGCCAGGAUUCCUGGAGGARAUUKGGGAGKGCUCGAAGAAAGCCUGUACCAGGUGCUGGCAUGGCCGUCGUMGCUCUGKAUCSUGRUAAUGGUUGGUUUAGUCCGUACCGGGCCACUKCAUAGUGCCUCAAGGUCCUCAUGAACKGCGUGGUACAUACCGGGAGUGA